rnacentral:rRNA from 1 species
CCUACGGGGGGCUGCAGCGGGGAAUAUUGCACAAUGGGCGCAAGCCUGAUGCAGCCAUGCCGCGUGUGUGAAGAAGGCCUUCGGGUUGUAAAGCACUUUCAGCGGGGAGGAAGGCGGUGAGGUUAAUAACCUCAUCGAUUGACGUUACCCGCAGAAGAAGCACCGGCUAACUCCGUGCCAGCAGCCGCGGUAAUACGGAGGGUGCAAGCGUUAAUCGGAAUUACUGGGCGUAAAGCGCACGCAGGCGGUCUGUCAAGUCGGAUGUGAAAUCCCCGGGCUCAACCUGGGAACUGCAUUCGAAACUGGCAGGCUAGAGUCUUGUAGAGGGGGGUAGAAUUCCAGGUGUAGCGGUGAAAUGCGUAGAGAUCUGGAGGAAUACCGGUGGCGAAGGCGGCCCCCUGGACAAAGACUGACGCUCAGGUGCGAAAGCGUGGGGAGCAAACAGGAUUAGAUACCCUUGUAGUC